AACGAACGCUGGCGGCAUGCCUAACACAUGCAAGUCGAACGAUGCCUUCGGGCAUAGUGGCGCACGGGUGCGUAACGCGUGGGAAUCUGCCUUUCGGUUCGGAAUAACUCAGGGAAACUUGAGCUAAUACCGGAUAACGUCGCAAGACCAAAGAUUUAUCAACGAAAGAUGAGCCCGCGUAGGAUUAGCUAGUUGGUGAGGUAAAGGCUCACCAAGGCGACGAUCCUUAGCUGGUCUGAGAGGAUGAGCAGCCACACUGGGACUGAGACACGGCCCAGACUCUUGCACGAUGCAGGAGUGCCUGAUCUAGCACUACCGGCGGAAUGCUGAAGCACUUAGGCUGGUAGAGCGAUGUUGUUCGGAGGGUUGUAAAGCUCGUUUACCCCGGAAUGUUAUGACGGUACCGAAAGAAUAAGCCCCGGCUAACUUCGUG
rnacentral:rRNA from 1 species